rnacentral:rRNA from 2 species
CCUACGGGCGGCUGCAGUGGGGAAUCUUGGACAAUGGGCGCAAGCCUGAUCCAGCCAUGCCGCGUGGAUGAUGAAGGCCUUAGGGUUGUAAAAUCCUUUCGUGGGGGACGAUAAUGACGGUACCCCAAGAAGAAGCUCCGGCUAACUUCGUGCCAGCAGCCGCGGUAAUACGAAGGGGGCUAGCGUUGUUCGGAUUUACUGGGCGUAAAGCGCGUGUAGGCGGGUCGUUAAGUUGGGGGUGAAAUCCCGGAGCUCAACUCCGGAACUGCCUUCAAAACUGGCGACCUGGACUCAAGUAGAGGCAAGUGGAAUUGCGAGUGUAGAGGUGAAAUUCGUAGAUAUUCGCAGGAACACCAGUGGCGAAGGCGACUUGCUGGACUUGUAGUGACGCUGAGACGCGAAAGCGUGGGGAGCAAACAGGAUUAGAUACCCGGGUAGUC